rfam:Camelus ferus unplaced genomic scaffold scaffold929, whole genome shotgun sequence.
GAAGGUAUAGCUCAAGUGGUAGACUGUGUGCUUAACAUGCACAAGGCCCUGGGUUCAAUCCCCAGUACCUCCU